rnacentral:rRNA from 1 species
UGAUCAUAUUCUUCGAUCAAAGAUUAAGCCAUGCAUGUCUAAGACUAAACAAGUUUCUAGUGCAUCUGCGUAUGGCUCAUUAUAUGAAUCAUUACUUACCCGAGCACCAUCUCACAACUGGAUAACCGUUGUAAUUCAAGGGCUAAUCAUGCAUCAAAAAAGGUUUAGUAAUAGACCUUUGCAUUUGUUAGUCUCAAACCAACAUAUUUGUGGUGAAUCAUGACAAAUUGCGGAUCCUCAUGUUUUAAACGGAGGACGACUCGGUCAGGUCUUUCCC